AUUGAACGCUGGCGGCAUGCCUUACACAUGCAAGUCGAACGGCAGCACGGGUGCUUGCACCUGGUGGCGAGUGGCGAACGGGUGAGUAAUACAUCGGAACAUGUCCUGUAGUGGGGGAUAGCCCGGCGAAAGCCGGAUUAAUACCGCAUACGAUCUACGGAUGAAAGCGGGGGACCUUCGGGCCUCGCGCUAUCGGGUUGGCCGAUGGCGGAUUAGCUAGUUGGUGGGGUAAAGGCCUACCAAGGCGACGAUCAGUAGCUGGUCUGAGAGGACGACCAGCCACACUGGGACUGAGACACGGCCCAGACUCCUACGGGAGGCAGCAGUGGGGAAUUUUGGACAAUGGGCGAAAGCCUGAUCCAGCAAUGCCGCGUGUGUGAAGAAGGCCUUCGGGUUGUAAAGCACUUUUGUCCGGAAAGAAAUCCUUGGGCCUAAUACGGUCGGGGGAUGACGGUACCGGAAGAAUAAGCACCGGCUAACUACGUG
rnacentral:rRNA from 1 species